GGUUGUAUGGUCCAAUGGUUACGACGUCAGAUUCUGAUCGAAUCUAUGCAGCACAUGCAUGACAUUCUGAAGACCGUGGUUCGAUUCCGCGUACGACCU